AGAGUUUGAUCCUGGCUCAGGACGAACGCUGGCGGCGUGCCUAAUACAUGCAAGUCGAGCGAAUCUUUGGGAGCUUGCUCCCAUUGGUUAGCGGCGGACGGGUGAGUAACACGUGGGCAACCUGCCUGUAAGACUGGGAUAACACCGGGAAACCGGUGCUAAUACCGGAUAAUCCUUUCCCUCACAUGAGGGGAAGCUGAAAGUCGGUUUCGGCUGACACUUACAGAUGGGCCCGCGGCGCAUUAGCUAGUUGGUGAGGUAACGGCUCACCAAGGCGACGAUGCGUAGCCGACCUGAGAGGGUGAUCGGCCACACUGGGACUGAGACACGGCCCAGACUCCUACGGGAGGCAGCAGUAGGGAAUCUUCCGCAAUGGACGAAAGUCUGACGGAGCAACGCCGCGUGAGCGAUGAAGGCCUUCGGGUCGUAAAGCUCUGUUGUUAGGGAAGAACAAGUACCGGAGUAACUGCCGGUACCUUGACGGUACCUAACCAGAAAGCCACGGCUAACUACGUGCCAGCAGCCGCGGUAAUACGUAGGUGGCAAGCGUUGUCCGGAAUUAUUGGGCGUAAAGCGCGCGCAGGCGGUCCUUUAAGUCUGAUGUGAAAGCCCACGGCUCAACCGUGGAGGGUCAUUGGAAACUGGGGGACUUGAGUGCAGAAGAGGAAAGCGGAAUUCCACGUGUAGCGGUGAAAUGCGUAGAGAUGUGGAGGAACACCAGUGGCGAAGGCGGCUUUCUGGUCUGUAACUGACGCUGAGGCGCGAAAGCGUGGGGAGCAAACAGGAUUAGAUACCCUGGUAGUCCACGCCGUAAACGAUGAGUGCUAAGUGUUAGAGGGUUUCCGCCCUUUAGUGCUGCAGCUAACGCAUUAAGCACUCCGCCUGGGGAGUACGGCCGCAAGGCUGAAACUUAAAGGAAUUGACGG
rnacentral:rRNA from 1 species